rnacentral:rRNA from 1 species
AUUGAACGCUGGCGGCAGGCUUGACACAUGCAAGUCGAGCGGGGUGAUGGUGCUUGCACUAUCACUUAGCGGCGGACGGGUGAGUAAUGCUUAGGAAUCUGCCUAUUAGUGGGGGACAACAUCUCGAAAGGGAUGCUAAUACCGCAUACGUCCUACGGGAGAAAGCAGGGGAUCACUUGUGACCUUGCGCUAAUAGAUGAGCCUAAGUCGGAUUAGCUAGUUGGUGGGGGAAAGGCCUACCAAGGCGACGAUCUGUAGCGGGUCUGAGAGGGUGAUCCGCCACACUGGGACUGAGACACGGCCCAGACUCCUACGGGAGGCAGCAGUGGGGAAUAUUGGACAAUGGGGGGAACCCUGAUCCAGCCAUGCCGCGUGUGUGAAGAAGGCCUUAUGGUUGUAAAGCACUUUAAGCGAGGAGGAGGCUCUUUUGGUUAAUACCCAAGAUGAGUGGACGUUACUCGCAGAAUAAGCACCGGUUAACUCUGUGCCAGCCGCCGCAGUAA